rnacentral:rRNA from 1 species
UUGGAGGGCAAGUCUGGUGCCAGCAGCCGCGGUAAUUCCAGCUCCAAUAGCGUAUAUUAAAGUUGUUGCAGUUAAAAAGCUCGUAGUUGAACCUUGGGCCUGGCUGGCCGGUCCGCCUCACUGCGUGCACUGGUUCGGCCGGGCCUUUCCCUCUGGGGAGCCCUAUGCCCUUCACUGGGUGUAGUGGGGAACCAGGACUUUUACUGUGAAAAAAUUGAGUGUUCAAAGCAGGCAUAUGCUCGAAUACAUCAGCAUAGAAUAAUAG